ensembl:lncRNA
CCAGCCCCUACACUCUUCCAGCCCCUACACCCUUCCAGCCCCUACACCCUUCCAGCCCCUACACCCUUCUAUCCCCUACACCCUUCCAGCCCCUACACUGUUCCUGCGCUUACGCCCUUUUAGCCGCUAACCUUUUCCAGCCCCUAUACCCUACUUUUGGAAAAAAAAGAAAAAGUGCCUGAGAUUCUGUGAAGUACUGUAGAGAGUGGGAAGAGAGGUCUUCACUUGCCAAUGCUGACUAAUCAAGUCUGUUUGGGCAAAUAAUAGUUCAGCAUUUAUAGUUCCCAUGCUAGUUUGUAUGAACAGAGACCUUCUCCUCUAGGGUCAUCGUUAUAGGCAAACUGUUAAUUGUUAAUGUUGCAAGAGCUUGUACUGUAAUUUUUAUAUCUGAAUGCUAUGUCUGUUGGGUGUCGUAAGGUGUGUGGUUGUGUUUUUAUGUAUGUGGAUUUUAGUUUGUAAAGACAAUAUGAGGAGGUAUGGAACCUUUCAGCUUUUCAUUAAGAUCAACAUUUGAUUGAUGCUUGUAUAGAAAUAUGAAUUGACUCCAUGUACGGCCUUUAACAGAGUUGUACAACUUCUGAAAAAAGAAUUGGACCCUGAUAUGUCCAUAAUAUGGUCAGGCAUUUUAGAAAAGUCUACUUGAGCAGAAGUUGAUCUGAGCUACUUUCUCAACUUUGUAAUUGAUCAACCAGAUCUAAAUGGAGAACAGCAGUAGUCAUGACCAGCAAUGUUUUCUAUGGCGAUUCUAUAUGGCUGAAAGACUUGCAGUAAGGUAGUUCUUCCACCACACUCACCUAUGGUUAGCGUUGGUGUCUCAUUUAUACCCUUUUUUGUUUUUACAAAUCCAAUUUUCUGUGGAAUCAUUUUGGGACAUGCAUGGAUCCCUGUUACGGCUGCCACCCAAAUCUAUCAGAAGCAUUGAGGUUUGAUAUGAUCAACAUUGAAAUACGUGGCCAUAUCUGUGGCAGACCUCUGUGCAAAGCCACUGUUUUAUAAUAUGUAUUAUGACAGCUGUUCAUAGAAAACAAUAUAGGCCUAGCUUAUACCAUACCUUUGCAAAGUCACGGCUAUGCGUGUGAAUGUUUUUACUGUGAGUGUAUCACUAUCAAUGAUUUAUGCUAAAGAGGCAGUAUUUCCACUCAUCAACAUCUGUUGAUAAUCAGAGCUCUGACAAGGCCUUUGUUGCUUUUUUUGUUCUGGCAGAAGCAUUUGGUUGAUUUCUUGUAGUCGGUGUAGUAGGCAUUCUGUACUAUGUCUUUAUUGUGUCUGGUAAAGAUAAUGAUACCUGUGGUAAUUUCCAUCAUUUGAAUACUACUGAUAUGUAUUACUGGUUUUAGAAAAUUGAGGUGCUCAUCUUUAAUAUGCCCCAUCCCCCGAGCACAGCUCAAGAGCAAAAGUUAAAAAUGUAAUCGAAAAAAACGCAGGAUCUCUGGUCUAUAAUGGUUUACAGUGUUUUUUUCUAAUUGGCCCAGUUAGGUGUCUUCAACAAUUCCAUCCAAUCAGUCAAAUAGAUUGUAAUUGCGUUUUUUCCUGUCUCCUUUCUCUUCAAACAAAGGCUUGAGCGUUUACCCUUUUAAAGAUGAACACGGAGUCGAGGUGUGUGGAAGUAUUUCAGAAAAUUCUGUCAUUGGUAUAACUUCUAUGGACAUCUGUCUUAAUGAAAAGAGAUCCCCAUCAUAUGCUAUAUUGUCAGAUUCUUUGGGAGGUUCAACUCCCCGUGACGAUUGCGCUGAAAUCAACUUCCUCCCACUCCACUCCCGAAUUUUGGACCAAAUGAUCUCGCCUCAUUCGAGAAGAUGCCACGGCAAUCAGUAAUUGCACAUAACCAAUUAAAGAUAAUCGUGUAUAAGGUCCAUGCUGCUUAGCAGAGGGGCUGUGCUUUUAUUGCCCCUUAACACUGUCUGAUAUUGUGCAUUUACGAGGCUAGCCUUACAAAAUGGACCUAUUCAAGUCGAGUUGCACAGUCAAACUUUUAAGAAGUAUUUUCUUUCUGUUCUCCAUUUGAAUGUUCUGAACUUUUUUAAUGUUGUCUUGUGCAGUGUUCAAACAUGUUUUUUGAUUAUGAAAUGCUGCUCUUUGUCAAAAAAAAGCGAAAGUGCCCAAAGUAUUUUUGUGAACCUAGUGUGCAAUAAUUUGACAAGUGUCGAAAAGGAUAUUUUGUGCUUGAAAAAAGUGUAAUUUUGUGUAAAUCAAUGACUUAAGGAAAGCUGAAGAAAAAGAGGCAAGGAUCCCAAUCAAUCUGUGAAAUCAAGCUUAUCUAGCAAACAGCUGGUUCUCUCCCAAUACGCCCUUCCAUUGUCAAGUUGCAUGUUCAUAUGAUUCUAUGAAUUGGAGAGCAUGUUCUGCUGCCUCCAUGGGCAACCCCUUCCUGAUGUUCUGUCAUGGCCUUAUUCCUAGAUGUCUUCAUCACCUUCUUUUGUUCUUCAAGCAUGUUUUUUAAUUUCUGUAAGUAGCUAUUUUUCUGUGCAAUGUUUUGUGAUAUCUUGAUUAUAUACAGUACAUGCCUUUUUGGUGUACAUUUGAUUGAUGAUUUUUUCCACUUCAUAUUUAAAUUUGCUAAGAAAAAAAAACUAGCUCUUCACGAGUACAAAUAUAUAUAUAUAUAAAUAUAUUUUUUGGGUGAGUUUUGUAUUAUGGUUGCUGUUAAAAUGAGUAUGCCAUCUUUGGAUCUUCUUGAUUAAUGUGAACAGGAGGGUGUGUGUGUGUGUGUGUGUGUGUGUGUGUGUGUGUGUGUGUGUGUGUGUGUGUGUGUGUGUGUGUGUGUGUGUGUGUGUGUGUGUGUGUGUGUGUGCGUGGGGGCAUGCAGGGUUGUGAUUGGUAGUCUUCACUUUGUGAGUGUCUUGAUGUGCAGUUAUACACAAAACACAGAUGUUGUAUUUUGUGACUUUAAUACUGUAUUUCAAGCUGUUAGUUUCAAGAGUUUUGUUGAAAGUUCCCAGAUAGUAACGAGACCUGCACAUUAUAUGUUGUAAAAACAAAAAAGAGAAUAAACAUCAGUUUGUUGUAUUGAGUGUCAUUAACUGGAUCUCAUUACGGAGUGUAUAUUACAAGGGGAACACACCUUGUAACGCUGCUAGUAUUACUAGGUGUAUUUCCCCUUGUAAUACUGCUA